GACAUACAGUCUUGUUAACCUCUGAAAGCUGUAAUUACACUAUUGCAAAACUGAUGCCUGCAGUAUGUCUGUCCUGGCAUAACUAGUUGAAAUAUAGGAAGGCAUUGUACUUGCACAAGAGAAGAGAAGCUCUGACUUGCAUUGCUAACAGGAGGUGAAAGCAGCUAAACUUUUGGCUUGAAAUUGCUGUUUAUGAACCUGCUGUAAACACUUAUGUGAUUCAAGCCUCUUAAAGGACAGUAAAUUACGUAUGAAAAUUUCAUGGCUGAAUAAGUGGCAGUAACAUGGCACUCAUUCUGGAUGCACACAUCAAAGAAAGACAAAAGUUGGAACUUUUAAGAUGGAAAUUAGUGGGUUCUGUGCUUUGUCCUUCUGGAAACCUCAGAUCCAAAACGUCAGAAAUUGGGGGAGUAAUUGUGACUCACUUCUGUUUCUUGCCACAUGAAAAAAAAAGAACCAGUCCCAAGGUCUACCAACUAACUGGUCAAGUAAUUAUACAGUAAGCAAGGGUAUUUGAACCUAUUAUGAAUACAAGGUGAAAAGAAUCCGAUGGCCAUGAAACUGCUCCUUUAUUACUAAACUGGAAUGAAAGGAGAUAGAGCAUUUUGCACAUCUGCUCCCAAAAUCCGGGUGGCCUGACGAGAAGAGCUUAAAAAUGUGCUAGGCUUUAAUUAAUUAUGAAGAAUGUUGGUUCUUGCUUAGUGCUUGUUGUAUGGCUCUACAGAUACCAAAGCUUUUUAGUUAAAAAGGAAGAUCAGAAAAAAGCCUGUUGCUGAGAACAGAACGGACACUCCAUAAAAAUAAGGGUUGAUCAGAAGUGUCAUAAAGGUUUGAGUUUGUGGAUGUGUGAUCACCCCUCCCCCCUAAAAUGGAAGUUAAAGGCAAGCGCUUGCAAUUAUGGUAGGCCAGG
rnacentral:lncRNA from 1 species